GACGAACGCUGGCGGCGUGCUUAACACAUGCAAGUCGAACGGAAAGGCCCUGCUUUUGUGGUGUGCUCGAGUGGCGAGCGGGUGAGUAACACGUGAGUAACCUGCCCUUGACUUUGGGAUAACUUCAGGAAACUGGGGCUAAUACCGUAUAGGAGCUCCUGCUGCAUGGUGGGGGUUGGAACGUUUCGGCGGGUGGGGAUGGACUCGCGGCUUAUCAGCUUGUUGGUGGGGUAGUGGCUUACCAAGGCUUUGACGGGUAGCCGGCCUGAGAGGGUGACCGGCCACAUUGGGACUGAGAUACGGCGCAGACUCCUACGGGAGGCAGCAGUGGGGAAUAUUGCACAAUGGGCGGAAGCCGGAUGCAGCAACGCCGCGUGCGGGAUGACGGCCUUCGGGUUGUAAACCGCUUUCGCCUGUGACGAAGCGUGAGUGACGGUAAUGGGUAAAGAAGCACCGGCUAACUACGUG
rnacentral:rRNA from 1 species